UUAUAGGAAGAAUCAGUCUAAGAUGUGGAAUUAUGUAUAUAUAUUUGUAUGGGAAUUGGUCGUGCUUUCUAGAAAAUCUUGACCGAACCACAUGGAAACUAUAAACGAUCGGAAAUAAGGAUUGCUUUCGAUGUCCACAUGCAAAUGAUUUGCAGCAUUUCAUAGGGCGCGGGUCCGAUCGAGGUCGGGGGCCGGGCUGCAUGCGAGAGAAGCACAUGCGCAAAAUGUUGCUAAAUACUUUACAGGAGCGCCGACACGUCGCGCCUUCUUAUGGCUUCUCCGGGCUUGUAGCUUGGGACUUGAAGCUCCUCUCAAUGCUGUCGCUGUCGCUGUCGCAGCGGCUGUGGCAUUUCGCGUUAAAUAUUUACACACACAGAUACACGCCCAAUAAGCAAUGCGGUGCGCAAAGUGUGCCAGCAGCAGCAACCAAGACGACGACGACGACGACGCCAGCGAUGGCGGGGUCAAGUGCUGAGGCUGCGACUGAGGCGGCGGCUGCGACUCGAUCAUUGGCAUGACGCGGACGCGAGUGGCAGGCACUUUGCAUAUUUUAGCGCGUGCAUUGCAGUUGCUAAUUGAAAUAGUGUCGCUGCGGGGCAGUGGUUAAGGAGCGGAAGGGGGGCGGGGCGACGCUUGGAUCAGCGAUCGUCAGUGUGCACAUAUUUGCCAAUGCCAGAGAUGCGCAACGAAGUGACGACCUCGCCUAGCCCCGGCUAGAAGGAAGGUGCGUGCCUGCGGAUUGCAAAAUGCAGCGGCAAGUAAUGCGCACAAUUGCAUCACAGACGCGUACCCACAGUUGCAGUUACAGUUGCAGUUACAAAUUGCAGUUGCAGUUGCAGUUACAUUUAUUGUUGCCGUCACGUACACAGAGAACGAGCGAGCAGCUCCUUUUGCUUGCUUUUGCCACUUUAAUGCGACUUGCAAGUGGAUCCGGACAUGGAUGGAGCCGGAGCACGUCAUGAUUUUUUGAUUGAUCUGUAAGGCACACACGGCAGUUGGCUUUUAUAUUUUUUAAUAAAAGUGAAACGUUUUCUCAUUA